UCCUCCCUCUUUCCUCGUGCUUAACACAUGCAAGUCGAACGGAAAGGCCCUGCUUUUGUGGGGUGCUCGAGUGGCGAACGGGUGAGUAACACGUGAGUAACCUGCCCUUGACUUUGGGAUAACUUCAGGAAACUGGGGCUAAUACCGGAUAGGAGCUCCUGCUGCAUGGUGGGGGUUGGAAAGUUUCGGCGGUUGGGGAUGGACUCGCGGCUUAUCAGCUUGUUGGUGGGGUAGUGGCUUACCAAGGCUUUGCCGGGUAGCCGGCCUGAGAGGGUGACCGGCCACAUUGGGACUGAGAUACGGCCCAGACUACUACGGGAGGCAGCAGUGGGGAAUAUUGCACAAUGGGCGGAAGCCUGAUGCAGCAACGCCGCGUGCGGGAUGACGGCCUUCGGGUUGUAAACCGCUUUCGCCUGUGACGAAGCGUGAGUGACGGUAAUGGGUAAAGAAGCACCGGCUAACUACGUG
rnacentral:rRNA from 1 species